AUGCAUCGUCAGCGAGCGCGCCCGGACACACCUCACAGUUCAUUUUGCGGGGCGUUGAUUCGUGAUCCAACGGCAGCACACUCUAACACUCUACGCAGCGCCGUACCGGCUGCAGCUCAUCAUAGCACAGGGCACAGCUCGCACCCGCGGCGUCCGGCACCUGCUCCGGCGACUCACCGCCGGCCCCAUGCCCCCUCGCUCCGCACCCAUUCCGGCAUGGUCAAGCUCCUCGCCGACCUCCUCCACGACGUUCCGCCCGCGACCUGCACCGGCCUCGCCACGCCCCCACCCACAUCUCGCUCCUCCUGCUCCAGCCUCCCCACACAGCCUCCCCGCUCUGGCUCUCCCUCCCAGCGCUUUCCGUCUAUGCUCACGCCGUCCGUCUCGCCAUCUUCCCCGCACGCCGCAUCACUCCGAACCAGUAUGCGGCUUCCCCAUAUCGUCCCCAAUUUCAAGAUUCGUCAGCUCACCCUUGCCCGUGUCCUGUUCGAUGAAAUGCCGCAGUCCGGUAUUUGCCUGGAUGAGUAUGUUUACACGGCUGGGAUUCGGGCUUACAGCGAGGCAGGGAAUCUCACUGCACGGAGAGGCUUGUGGCGAGGAUUGAGGGUCAAGGUCAGCGUGGUGUCGUAUGUACUGCUGUAUGGAUUGGGCAAGAAUCAACGCAUUCAGGAGGCAGUGGUAGCCGCCGAGGCUACGAAAGAGGGUAUGGCGACGAACAUAUUUGCAUACAAUGCAUUGCCUGAUAACCUGUGCGAGAAUGUCCUGCUGCUCGACUCUGCCAUCUCCAGAUCAAUCAAGGACGGCCCCCCAAGUGCACAUUCUCUAGUAGUACUAGCACUGUCUGGUGUCAGUUGCUGCUUAGACUCUGGUUAUAUUUUUUUCGAGAAUGAUUAUGUUGGAAUGUUGCGAGUACUUGAUGAGAAUUGA
rnacentral:rRNA from 1 species